rfam:Dipodomys ordii contig_51715, whole genome shotgun sequence.
GGAUGUGAGGGCGAUCUGGCUGGCUAGGCGGGUGUCCCCUGCCUCUCUCACCGCUCCAUGUGCGUCCCUCCUGAAGCUGCGCGCUCGGUCGAAGAGGACGACCAUCCCCGAUAGAGGAGGACCGGUCCUCGGUCAAGGGUAUACGAGUAGCUGCGCUCCCCUGCUAGAACCUCCAAACAAACUCUCAAGGAUUUUUAUUUUGGUUGGUCAUGGGGAUUGAGCUUUGG